GACGAACGCUGGCGGCGUGCUUAACACAUGCAAGUCGAACGGGUCUGCCCUGUUUUUUGCGGGGUGGGUCAGUGGCGAACGGGUGAGUAACACGUGAGUAACCUGCCCCUCACUUCUGGAUAACCGCUUGAAAGGGUGGCUAAUACGGGGUGUUCUGGCUGUGCCGCAUGGUGUGGCUGGGAAAGAUUCACUUUUGUGGUGUUUUGGUGGGGGAUGGGCUCGCGGCCUAUCAGCUUGUUGGGGGGGGGAUGGCCUGCCAAGGCUUUGACGGGUAGCCGGCCUGAGAGGGUGGGCGGUCACACUGGGACUGAGGUACGGCCCAGACUCCUGCGGGAGGCAGCAGUGGGGGGUAUUGCACAAUGGGCGGAAGCCUGAUGCAGCGACGUCGCGUGAGGGAUGGAGGCCUUCGGGUUGUGAACCUCUUUCGCCGGUGAAGAAGGUCCUGCUCUUUGUGGUGGGGUUGACGGUAGCCGGGUUAUGAAGCGCCGGCUAACUACGU
rnacentral:rRNA from 1 species